rnacentral:rRNA from 1 species
CCCUGCCAUUUGUACACACCGCCCGUCGCUCCUACCGAUUGAGUGAUCAGAUGAAAUCCGCGGAUUGGGACUGGCUUGCUGGUUCUGAGAAGUUGAGUAAAUCUUAUUGCUUAGAGGAAGGAGAAGUCGUAACA